rnacentral:rRNA from 1 species
GACAGAGGGUGCAAACGUUGUUCGGAAUUACUGGGCGUAAAGCGAGUGUAGGCGGUCUUGUAAGUCGGAUGUAAAAGCCCUGGGCUCAACCCAGGAAGUGCACUCGAUACUGCGAGGCUAGAGUAUCGGAGAGGUUGGUGGAAUUCCUGGUGUAGCGGUGAAAUGCGUAGAUAUCAGGAGGAACACCUGUGGCGAAAGCGGCUCACUGGACCAUAACUGACGCUGAUGCACGAAAGCUAGGGGAGCAAACAGG